GUGCCAGCCGCCGCGGUAAUACCGGCAGCCCGAGUGAUGGCCGAUGUUAUUGGGCCUAAAGCGUCCGUAGCCGGCCGGGCAAGUCCGUCGGGAAAUCCGCGCGCUCAACGCGCGGGCGUCCGGCGGAAACUGCUCGGCUUGGGACCGGAAGACCCGAGGGGUACGUCCGGGGUAGGAGUGAAAUCCCGUAAUCCUGGACGGACCGCCGGUGGCGAAAGCGCCUCGGGAGAACGGAUCCGACGGUCAGGGACGAAAGCUGGGGUCUCGAACCGGAUUAGAAACCCCGGUAGUCC
rnacentral:rRNA from 1 species